GACGAACGCUGGCGGCGUGCUUAACACAUGCAAGUCGAACGGAAAGGCCCUGCUUUUGUGGGGUGCUCGAGUGGCGAACGGGUGAGUAACACGUGAGUAACCUGCCCUUGACUUUGGGAUAACUUCAGGAAACUGGGGCUAAUACCGGAUAGGAUCUCCUGCUGCAUGGUGGGGGUUGGAAAGUUUCGGCGGUUGGGGAUGGACUCGCGGCUUAUCAGCUUGUUGGUGGGGUAGUGGCUUACCAAGGCUUUGACGGGUAGCCGGCCUGGGAGGGUGACCGGCCACAUUGGGACUGAGAUACGGCCCAGACUCGUACGGGAGGCAGCGGUGGAGAAUAUUGCACAAGGGGCGGAAGCCUGAUGCAGCAACGCCGCGUGCGGGAUGACGGCCUUCGGGUUGUAAACCGCUUUCGCCUGUGACGAAGCGUGAGUGACGGUAAUGGGUAAAGAAGCACCGGCUAACUACGUG
rnacentral:rRNA from 1 species